rnacentral:rRNA from 1 species
AUGGUAUGUACUGGCUUUACUGAUUCCUCCUUCUUGAAGAACUGUAAUGUCAUUAAUUUGGUGUUGCAGGGAAACAGGACUGUUACUUUGAAAAAAUUAGAGUGUUUAAAGCAGGCUAACGCUUGAAUACAUUAGCAUGGAAUAAUGAAAUAGGACGUUCGAUCCUAUUUUGUUGGUUUCUAGGAUUGACGUAAUGAUUAAUAGGGAUAGUUGGGGGCAUUAGUAUUCAAUUGUCAGAGGUGAAAUUCUUGGAUUUAUUGAAGACUAACUACUGCGAAAGCAUUUGCCAAGGAUGUUUUCAUUAAUCAAGAACGAAAGUUAGGGGAUCGAAGACGAUCAGAUACCGUCGUAGUCUUAACCAUAAACUAUGCCGACUAGGGAUCGGAUGAUGUUAAUUUUUUAAUGACUCAUUCGGCGCCUUACG